GCCUGGGCAACAUAGGGAGACCCCCCCACCCCACCCCAACUUCACACAUACAGAGAGCUAUUAAGAAUUCAGUCAUACUUGCAAAACACCUAGGAUUCAAGACCCACAGGUAAGAAUCAAAUACUCUAUGUUGGUGGCUCAUAAGGCAUCUGGAACUGCCAGAGAGAUAUGCCUAGAAGCGGACCUCAGCUAAAGAGGGAUGGGGUUGAGGGGUAAAUACCCAGCUCCCCCUUUCCUUGGGAGGGACAUCUUUGAGGCAUGUUCUGUGCCAUCCCCAGAGUUCCCAGGGAGAUCGGGGCCUCGGUUGUCCACAGCGCUCAGUAACAUGCUUUUUAUUGGCUUUCUUCCUUUCCGAGCCUCACUUCUCUGUUCCUUUUCUGGUGCAUUCUGGUAUCACCUCCAAAUGAACCACUUCUAGAGGAAUCCAUGACUCAGGGUCGGCUUCCAGAGAACCAAACCAGGAAAGCUCUAUCCAAACUCAGGAGACUCCCAACAAACCAGAGUCCACCCACAUCCUCAGACUAAA
rnacentral:lncRNA from 1 species